rnacentral:rRNA from 1 species
UGAGGAAUAUUGGUCAAUGGGGGCAACCCUGAACCAGCAAAGUCGCGUGAAGGAUGAAGGUCUUAUGGAUUGUAAACUUCUUUUAUACAGGAAUAAAUUGGGGGACGUGUCCCCUUUUGAAUGUACUGUAUGAAUAAGGAUCGGCUAACUCCGUGCCAGCAGCCGCGGUAAUACGGAGGAUCCGAGCGUUAUACGGAUUUAUUGGGUUUAAAGGGUGCGCAGGCGGGAUGUUAAGUCGGCGGUUAAAUUUUGCAGCUCAACUGUAAAAGUGCCUUCGAUGCUGGCCUCCUUGAGUGUGGAUGAAGUAGGCGGAAUUUGUGGUGUAGCGGUGAAAUGCUUAGAUAUCACGAGGAACUCCGAUUGCGCAGGCAGCUUACUAAGCCACAACUGACGCUCAUGCACGAAGGCGUGGGGAUCAAACA